AUUGAACGCUGGCGGCAGGCCUAACACAUGCAAGUCGAGCGGUAGCACAAGGGAGCUUGCUCCCCGGGUGACGAGCGGCGGACGGGUGAGUAAUGUCUGGGAAACUGCCUGAUGGAGGGGGAUAACUACUGGAAACGGUAGCUAAUACCGCAUAACGUCGCAAGACCAAAGUGGGGGACCUUCGGGCCUCACGCCAUCGGAUGUGCCCAGAUGGGAUUAGCUAGUAGGUGGGGUAACGGCUCACCUAGGCGACGAUCCCUAGCUGGUCUGAGAGGAUGACCAGCCGCACUGGAACUGAGACACGGUCCAGACUCCUACGGGAGGCAGCAGUGGGGAAUAUUGCACAAUGGGCGCAAGCCUGAUGCAGCCAUGCCGCGUGUGUGAAGAAGGCCUUCGGGUUGUAAAGCACUUUCAGCGAGGAGGAAGGCGUUAAGGUUAAUAACCUUGACGAUUGACGUUAUUCGCAGAAGAAGCACCGGCUAACUACGUGCCAGCCGCCGCGGUAAAAC
rnacentral:rRNA from 1 species